GGAAUGCUAAUACCGCAUACGUCCUACGGGAGAAAGCAGGCGAUCUUCGGACCUUGCGCUAAUAGAUGAGCCUAAGUCGGAUUAGCUAGUUGGUGGGGUAAAGGCCUACCAAGGCGACGAUCUGUAGCGGGUCUGAGAGGAUGAUCCGCCACACUGGGACUGAGACACGGCCCAGACUCCUACGGGAGGCAGCAGUGGGGAAUAUUGGACAAUGGGCGGAAGCCUGAUCCAGCCAUGCCGCGUGUGUGAAGAAGGCCUUAUGGUUGUAAAGCACUUUAAGCGAGGAGGAGGCUACUUUAAUUAAUACCUAGGGAUAGUGGACGUUACUCGCGGAAUAAGCACCGGCUAACUCUGUGCCAGCAGCCGCGGUUAUACAGAGGGUGCAAGCGUUAAUCGGAUUUACUGGGCGUAAAGCGCGCGUAGGCGGCUAAUUAAGUCAAAUGUGAAAUCCCCGAGCUUAACUUGGGAAUUGCAUUCGAUACUGGUUAGCUAGAGUGUGGGAGAGGAUGGUAGAAUUCCAGGUGUAGCGGUGAAAUGCGUAGAGAUCUGGAGGAAUACCGAUGGCGAAGGCAGCCAUCUGGCCUAACACUGACGCUGAGGUGCGAAAGCAUGGGGAGCAAACAGGAUUAGAUACCCUGGUAGUCCAUGCCGUAAACGAUGUCUACUAGCCGUUGGGGCCUUUGAGGCUUUAGUGGCGCAGCUAACGCGAUAAGUAGACCGCCUGGGGAGUACGGUCGCAAGACUAAAACUCAAAUGAAUUGACGGGGGCCCGCACAAGCGGUGGAGCAUGUGGUUUAAUUCGAUGCAACGCGAAGAACCUUACCUGGCCUUGACAUAGUAAGAACUUUCCAGAGAUGGAUUGGUGCCUUCGGGAACUUACAUACAGGUGCUGCAUGGCUGUCGUCAGCUCGUGUCGUGAGAUGUUGGGUUAAGUCCCGCAACGAGCGCAACCCUUUUCCUUAUUUGCCAGCGAGUAAUGUCGGGAACUUUAAGGAUACUGCCAGUGACAAACUGGAGGAAGGCGGGGACGACGUCAAGUCAUCAUGGCCCUUACGGCCAGGGCUACACACGUGCUACAAUGGUCGGUACAAAGGGUUGCUACCUAGCGAUAGGAUGCUAU
rnacentral:rRNA from 1 species